CGGGGAGACCGUGAGGACACUGGCUGCCCAGCCACCUGUGGGUGGGACUCAGGCAGGGCAUGGACUUCAGCCAGGACUCUGCCAUGAGGGACGCUGCUCCAAGUUGAAGCAGGACCCAGGGUCCCGAGGUAACCCUGAACGCCCCACGACUCGAGAGGUCUCCUAGCAACCCUCCUUAGGAAUUUCGCCCGCCCCGGCUAGAAAACUGGAGACCACGACGCGGCCCCGAGAUUGAUGAUUUUGCCUGGGGGGCUGGCGAGAAGCUGAGUCCGAGGCGACCAUGGGUCAGAAGGUCACCGGAGGGAUCAAGACCGUGGACAUGAGGGACCCCGCGUACCGGCCGCUGAAGCAGGAGCUGCAGGGGCUGGACUACUGCAAGCCCACGCGGCUGGACCUGCUGCUGGACAUGCCCCCCGUGCCCUACGACGUGCAGCUGCUGCACUCCUGGAACAACGACGACCGCUCGCUCAACGUCUUCGUCAAGGAGGACGACAAGCUCAUCUUUCACCGGCACCCCGUGGCCCAGAGCACGGACGCCAUCAGGGGCAAGGUCGGGUACACGCGAGGGCUGCACGUGUGGCAGAUCACGUGGGCCAUGAGGCAGCGGGGCACGCACGCUGUGGUGGGAGUGGCGACGGCGGAUGCCCCCCUGCACUCUGUGGGGUACACGACCCUCGUGGGGAACAACCACGAGUCCUGGGGCUGGGACUUGGGGCGCAACCGGCUCUACCACGACGGCAAGAACCAGCCGAGCAAAACGUACCCGGCCUUUCUGGAGCCGGACGAGACGUUCAUCGUCCCCGACUCCUUCCUGGUGGCCCUGGACAUGGACGACGGGACCCUGAGCUUCAUUGUGGAUGGACAGUACAUGGGAGUGGCUUUUCGGGGACUCAAGGGCAAAAAACUGUACCCCGUAGUGAGUGCCGUCUGGGGCCACUGUGAGAUCCGCAUGCGCUACUUGAACGGACUCGAUCAAGCCUCUUGAAGACAAGGCCGAGUCUCGGCCAGGCCACCGUAAGUGCUCAGCGUGUGUUCGGAGACUGAGUGAGCAGAAGAAGGAGCAAAUGAACAGAGAAAUGAACUAACAAGGUGAGGACCGUCUGGCAAGUUUGACCCCUGCAGUUGAGAAUGCUGCCCUUGACCUUUGACCUAUGCACACGGCCUGGACCUCAGCCCAGUGGCAGACAGAGAACCGUCCCCCAGAGCACCAGGGGUGGAGGGUCAGAGGCCCAGCAGCCAGAUGCAAGUGCUCGCUGUGUCCCUGCAGGUCACUGCCCCAGCUCUCCAGGAAGUCACGGGACAUGGUGAAACCGUGGGGAAGAGUCCCUGUGAGGACGGAGAGGACUCCCCUGGCUUCCCGAGCUCCACUUGCAUCGACUCUUGGGGCGGAAUUCCAGAUCUAGUGAGAGCUUUAGGAUUUUUUUUAAGGUAAAUGAUUUAUGACAGAGGAGGAACAGUGGAAUCCGACACAGACCACCCUUCCCAGAUUUGGCAUCUACAGGAUUGGCUGCACCCCCACCCGGAGACCUUGCUAGCAGUGGGGUCUGGCUCCCCAGCCCUGGACAGUCUGGGCCUUGGCAAAGCUGCAGUUGACAGGGGCUGCGCCCUGCCAGACACACUGGAUGGUCUCAGCAAUCCCCAGGAAGAGGAAAGAAAGGAAAACGCUGCCCCAAAAGAAUGCCCAGCAGCGGUUGCUGUCCCCAGGGCCAGCUGCCCUGCUUCCUCCAGGGCCACCCCCUAAAAGCCCAGGGCCCCCGGGUCCUGUCAAACUGGAUUUGUGGGGACAGAGGCCUCCCAUGGCUUAGCCACCAGGCGUGGGCUGGGCCUUGCUGCUGCCCUGCCCCCCGGGGGAGCACUGCUCCCUUGGGUCUGGGGGCUGGAGGCCGGUCUCCUGCAGGGUCAUCCCUGGGGGCAGGUUCCAGCGCCCACGACCCUCUAUCAGGGCUCCACAGCCCGCAGCGGGAGACACUGCAAGUUACUUUUCAGUCAAGUCGGCGACGGCUCAGAGCACCCCAGCGCACAGAGCGCAGGCCCGGGGCCCUGCGGCCAAGACUCGGUUGGCAGGGGCCACCGGCCACGCCCUGGGGCGAGCCAGGUCUUUCCUGAGUGGAAUGUACCAGGUUUUUCCUGAGUGGAAGCAGGGUUCAGACCCCACGUGCCCUGCAGGCCCGAGGAGCCCGGCAGGCCAUCCGGGUCCCAUGGUAAAGGUGUGGACUUCUGGCCCACAGCCCGCAGGGGCUGAGGGAGGAUGCUGAGAAGCUUCCAGGCUGUGUCUCCACCCUCCUGAGUCACACGGGAAUGUGAGACCAGGAGGCAGGUGGGGGGCAGGGGACAGUGCCGUUUCACAGCCUCUGCCAGGAGCCCUGGGGGCUGGGGCAGGCGGAGGGACGGCCAGAGCGGGAGGGAAGGCUGGGAAGAGGCUGCGAGGAGGAUACAGCUGCAGCCUCGGCCCAGACAGCACUUCCUCUCUCCCGCCCCUCCCUCCUUUCCAGGGAUGUGGCCCACCAAAGACCUCAUCCUCUGGAAACACUGGCGGGCCCCACCCACAAGGACGGGGGCCUCGGGGGGCCCAUCCCCAGCUGACUCUAGGGCAGCCGGACUCACGUCCCACCACUCUCUCCCAACCCACAGCUGCUGCCCCCAUUGUGGCUCCUAGACUGUAACCUCUUCCUUUGUUCUAGCCCCAACAUCCAGGGCAAGCCAAGCAUACAGUUGGGGCUUAAUAAAUGCCAGUGUCCUCUCCUUGGCAGCACCACGCAGGGCCUGUCUAGGCCCCCACUUUGGAUAUGUACAAAUUAGUAACAACCAAAUAAUCAGCAAGAGCCAGGCUGCCUCCCCCAAAAAAAGGCAGCUGAGGACCAGCCAGGGCUACAUUUUGCUGGGGGUCCCCACCCUGCUCAGCCCCAGGGGAACACUGAUGCAGACCCUGCUUGGACACUCUCAAACCCCCACGUCCCGGGAGGACUCCAGCUGUCACUUCCAUUCUUGAGCCGCCUUUGCUUGCGAAUCGUCCCUGUUUGCUGUUUGGUGCUUAGAGCAAGCAGAACCGUGUUUUGCCAGCUGUCGGCUGGCAGCUCAGCCCAUCCUGCAGCUGGAGGCCCAGGUGGGGGGCCCAGGAGCCCUUUGAAGUCCCUGUCUCAGCUGACAGCCCUUCCCUCUGGCCUCCCACCGGGGAAUCCCACUGCCUCUGGUAUGGACAAACACCCCCGAAGUUCAGGAAAGAGUAGCCAUCUUUCCAGAAAACAGCCAGCCAGCCCAGCCCUGCUGGAAGCCACUGCAUGCAGUUCGUGGGGCUGGAACCAUGGCUUUCUGCAAACUGACGUGACCUUCUAGGUGCAGGAGGGGAGCCAGAAGACAUCGGGGUGCCCAGCUCAGAACCAAGGCCCCGGCCACCUCUCACUCGGAGUGGGCUGAAGAGGAGCCGGGGAGGAAAUUGAGUGGCAGCUGUUCCCUUUGCACCCAGGGACUAGAGGUCGGACAGUUGGGAUUAGUCAGAGAUUCCGAGUUGGGUCCUCGGCCAGCCCAACCAUGGGGACCUUCUCCAAGUGGAAACCUCGGUGCGGGCUUGGCCAGAGUUGGCUUAUGAGCUGGAGUCAGCCCUGUCCACCUGGCUGGAGACUUCGGUGGCCCAGGCCAUGCCAGCCUCUCGAGGUCCAUGGGAAGAAGUUCAGCUCCGACACCUCUGCUCCUGUAGGAGGGGUGGGCUCCCUCCUGCCAAAGCCAGGUGACUCAAGAGGAGUUUCAGCACCUCUAAUUCGGCUACCUGGCAAAUCUCCCCGGGCCCUGUGCCAAGCCCGUGGUGAGUCCUGAGAUACAGAAAUAGACAAAACUCAGUCCCUACCCUGAGGAAUUCACAAACAGACAAGUGAAAUAAUGGCAGCACAGUAGGUCUGCGCCCAGAGAGAGAAGCAGCCCACCUGGGGAGGCCCCUGGGGCUGGGCCUUGCAGGAGCAGGAGCUGGCAGGGCAGACUGGCUCUGCAGGACGGGGGCAAGGAUGCCUCCGUGGCCUGGGAGGCAGGUGGCCAGGCCUCCAGCAGUGGGGGCCCUUCCACUCAGCAGUGCCUUCCUAAAGCCCACAGAGUGCCAGGCCCUGGGAGGGCCAGCUCUGCUCCCCAAAGCUGCUAACUCUGAUCCAGGAGGCCGGUGGCUGCAGCUGCACCUGCCCAGCCCUCAGCCAGGGGAAGUGACUCGCCUCCCGGGCUCCUGCAGGCUGCAUCCCGGGAGAGCCCACAGGAAAGAGUUUUGCAAGUUUUAUGGCCACUGAAGUCGGGCUUGGACCUGAGGAGGGCGCAGGCCAAGCCUGACGGUUCUAAUUAGGGGAUCGGGCUCCUUGCAGCAGCCCGGGGGGCUGGGGGCUUCGCCAGGUUUGCAGAACAGCCAGCACUGUUUUGCACAGCGUCUCCCAGCAACCAGGGCCACUCUGACGGGGAGGGGGUGCCCGGGGAGCCAGUGUGGGUGGCAGCCAGCCUGGCUGAGCAGCCUGGACUCACUCUUGCUGUCCCCUCUGGGGGCUGCCCCGCUACCAAACUGCCCUUGGAGGACACAGAGCCCUGCUGGAGUCCGGGGGACAAACUGCCCUCUCCCAGCCCAGGACCAGCCAGGACCCAAAGAUACCCUGGUUCUGUGCUUUGCUCUACUGCUUUGGGUCACCCUGCCAUGCAUUCUAAAUCUAAAACAAAUAAAGAACAAGUACCCAGGACCCAGGAUCUAGACCAUAGCUGCAACACAGUAGGUGCUCAGUGCCUACAACCCUGUCUGGCACACAGUAGGUGCACAAUCUACAUGGUGAACCAAUGAAGAAGUGGAGUUUGUCUUCAGACCAUGCAGCAGGUAGCCUGUAUCUGCAGCGCCCGAUCCGGGACCCGAGAUUGCCAGAGCCCGGCAGGACCAGCCCCAGCCACAGUCCCUGCCCUGGUGCUGGGGGGCAGGGUGGUGGCCCCCAGCAGACGGCUGGUCAGACAGUGUGAGUCUGGCCUUUGAAUGCUAUUCCCGGCAGUUCCUCUGAUUCACAGCUGUCCCAGGAACAGUCAUGGCUGUGUCAAUAAAUAUUGGUGACUCUGAAUGACCUCUCUGUCUCGCAGGGCUGUUGGGCCUUCCUGCCCCUCCAAAGACCCUGUCCCGGCUGUUGUUAUUCCAGCCAGCGCAUAACACUUCAUGCCAGCGAGAGCGCCUUGGGGAGUGAGUGACCCCAGCGAGCUGAUAACCCGGGGAGCCUUUUCUAGCUCUGCAGCCUCGCUCCAGCCAGGACUCCCAGACCUUCUGGGAAUUCACGGCCCUGGGUGCAGAGUGGCAGGCAAUGCUGCGGGCCCUGACUCAGAAAGAGCCAGAAAGGAAGCCACGCUUGACCCUGCCCUUCCCCCACCCCCACCUGCAUGUCCCUUGUCCCCGUUCCAUGAUAGAAAAGGACACUGUCAUGUCUCAGACCGACACGACACGCCAGGCAAAGACAAGCUGUCUUUUCUCCUUCCGUGGUUCACACUUUCCAUGGUUUAGACAGAGUGAGCGUUUGAGUGAAAAGUAUUUCCGCACUGGGCCGGGCGUGGUGGCGCGUUCCUGUAGUCCCAGCCGCUCCGGAGGCUG